GAAAAUGCAAUCCAGUCAAUGGACAAUUGCUGCAUUACAAAUGUUUGUGAAAAAUGACAACAAUGGUGGCAUUAAUGAUCCAGUUUCUGCUCUCUAUUUCCAAAGGUUUGAUAAAGAUGGAUGCAGAUUCAGCAAGCACUUCAUGAGAUGUGCUUCUUUGUGCCGUUCAUAGCAACAUGUGUGCUGUGCUGAAGAAUUUUUGCACUAUGUGGGGCCUGUAAAUUUUGCUUUAUUCAUUAAAGAUCAGUUUCCUUUAUUCAUUCUUGA
rnacentral:misc_RNA from 1 species